UCCAAAGUGCCUAGCGGCAAAAUUCACAUACAUUAAGCGUGGAGAACAGGGGUAUCGAGAAUUUCAAUCCGCACCACAACACAUCAAAUGUCUCUGUAGCCCUCUUGAAUACUGCAACCACUGUCAAGUGAUUUGGAAAAAAAAAUUCUUAUUAUUAGUAAGUUUUUUUAUGUGACCUCUUUAUUAAGUGUGUUGAAAGGACACACACAACACAUUGAUGUACUUGAGAGGCAGUUAAUAACUACUCUUGUUUUAAGAAUUAUUUCUUACAACUCCAUAAGCAUUAAAAACUAUUUAAUUCAUGUAAAAAAAAUAACAUGAUAAAAAUAUUUUCUAAGAAAAAUGUGACUGAAAUUGUCAAAUUUAAUUAUGUUGUGAUUAUCUUUCUUUCCCUACUUUUGGUUACAACGAAUGUUAACGGUAAUAGUUGAUUUUAUCAUUUUUUAAGUUUUCUUAUUUACUUCGUACACAAUAUUUUAUCUCCUUAUAGUAACAUUAUUUUAUUCUCUUAUUUUAUUAUAGCGGGGUUUAAAUGCUUGCAAAAUUCCGAUUGUCCACAAAAUUGGUGCCCGCUUCCUUUUAAGCCGAGGUGUAGUUACAGUUGGUGUAUAUGUGUUAAAAAAAAAGAAUGAUAUCUUAUGAUUGGUAAGAUUUUUAUGUGACCCGGGUGUGGUUGGUAACACAAAUAAGCUAGCUUAUAGCUUAUUAUAUGAGUUUAUAAGCUUGUUUCAAAAAAUUAGAGGUGUUUGGUAACAAACUUUUUAAACUAGCUUAUAGCUUUUUUUCAGAUGCUAUUUCAAGUAGCGUUUGAGCUUAUAGCUUAUAGCUUUUUACACUAUAUUCCAUUUUUACCCUUCAAUUUAAUAACUACCCACUCUAAAAAAAAACUACCAACUAUCAAUUAUGUAAUUUUAUAUUUAAUAAUCACUUUAAAAGCUAAUUUUACCAAACACUUUAAUUUCAAUAAGCUAGCUUUUCAGCUAUCAGCUAUAAGCUAGCUUUUCAGCUAUCAGCUAGCUUAUAGCUUAUUUUUACCAAACAGACCCUAAGUAAGUGUAUUGAAGUGACGAAGGGUGUGUUUGGUAACAUAAAUAAGCUAGCUUAUAGCUUAUUAUAUGAGCUUAUAAGCUUGUUUCAAAAAAUUAGAGGUGUUUGGUAACAAGCUUUUUGUACUACCUUAUAGCUUUUUUUCAGAUGCUAUUUCAAGUAUCAUUUGAGCUUAUAGCUUUUUACACUUUAUUUCAUUUUUACCCUUCAAUUUAAUAACUAUCCACUCUAAAAAAAACCUACCCACUAUCAAUGAUGUAAUUUUAUAUUUAAUAACCACUUUAAAAGCUAAUUUUACCAAACACUUUAAUUUCAAUAAUCUAACUUUUCAGCUAUCAUCUAUAAGCUAGCUUUUCAGCUAUCAGCUAGCUUAUAGCUUAUUUUAACCAAAGAGACACAAACACAACACAUUGAUGUAAAAACAAUUAAUAACAAUUCUUAUUUUAGGAUAUUCUUUUCCAACUUCAUAAGUGCUAAACACUAUUUAAUUUAUUAUAUGUAAGAAGAGAAUAGGAUUUAUAAAUCAUAAAGUCAUAAAAUCAUAUUCUACUUGAUACAUGGAAAUGGGGAAAAAUAAGACUAAAAUCGUCAAGUUCGUUCAUGUCAUGAUUAUCUUGAAUUACAUAAUUCUCUUCGCAAUGAUUAUUGAUGGUAAACCUUUUCUUUAUCAUUCUCAAAUUUCUUUAUUUACGUCAUAUACAAUAUUUUUAUCUCAUCAUAGUUACAUUCUUUUAUUCCCUUUUUNNNNNNNNNNNNNNNNNNNNNNNNNNNNNUCUCUUCAUUACAGCGGGUAACAGAUGUUUUCAAGAUUCUGAUUGUCCACAAAAUAUGUGCUCUCCUCCUUUUAAACCGGGGUGUUUUUAUGGGUGGUGUGUACCAGAGUUAAUCUUAGAAUGAUGCUAUAGAUUCUAGAUGUUUUCUCUUUGGGUCCCCGAUGUAUCUUUUAUAUCCCAAAUAUUCCAAUUUUGCCCUUGAUAAAAUCUUCGGUUCGCAGAAACCGAAGUUUUUUCUAGUUCAAAUUCAGGAAAAUUUUGGUUAACAGAAACUGUAUUUUUUUUUUCAAGGCAAAGAAAAUUCGAUUCGUAGAAACCGAAAUUUUUAUUGAAGGACAAAAAAGUAAAAUCCAGAUGAUGAAAAAGAACCAUGAAGGCCUAAAGAGAAAACAUCUAGAUUCUAUAUAUGAGUGCCAAAAUCAAGAGAGUUGUACACAACAGGCUUGUAGAAUUGCUAAAAAAAAAAAGGCUUGUAGAAUACUUCUAUGAGUUAUCAUUUAGUUAUUACGUCACUCAUUUAACACUUGUAUGACUCUAUGAACUAAGCUUAGUGUGUGUUUGGUUUCACGUUUGGAAGUCUAGACGCGCGUUUGAUUUGCCUCCACCAUGAAAAGUGAAAAAAAAAUUAUAUUUGGCUUUGUCAUUCAGAAUCAAUUCAAGGGAUCCAAAAUCAAUUCUCAUGGAAGCAACAAUUCGUAGCUUCUACGUUGAAGAGAAUCAAACGCAAAAAAAAAAAAUAGUUUUUCUUGAUAUUGAGUAAUGUGUCUUUAAUAUAUUUUGCCAUUUCAAAUUAAAAUUUGUACCUAUAACUAUAGUGAAAAUGAUUAAGUAAUUAAAAUAACCAAUUAUUCUACUUUCACAAUUAUCAUAACUCAUAAGAAUGACAUGUAAUAGGGAUUAGUUGUUUUUUAUGUAUGUUUAUACAUUGAGUUUGGUCAUUUUAAUAUUAAUUUAAAUUAUAAGAUCAUCCUCCAACCAAAUAAAUGCGUAAGAAUCAUUUUUUCCAUCUCUUUUUCUAAUUUAAUGCUACUAAUUAUCUUUUUGUUACACUAAACAUACACAACUUUAUCUUUAUUUGAAUUUUCUUCAGUUUUAGAAACAAACAACAAUUUUUAUUUUUCACUCAAUUCUACUAUAUUUUUAUUUAUAUAUUUGAGAAAAUAACAUACAAUAUAAAUAAUUACCAAAUUAACCUAAUUUAAUAAGUUGACAUAUAUAAGUAAAAGAAUAGCUAAUUUUGUCGAAAUAACUCAAAAUUGGACCUAGAUUUACUCUUUUUGUUUCACUAAACAAACAAAACAUUGUCCUUAUUUGAAUUUUUCUCAAUUUUUAACAACAGACAACUUUUUUAUCACACUCAAUUCUAUUCUAUAAUUUUGGUUUUAUUUACUCUAAUAUAUAUGAAAAAUAUCAAAGUAAUAUAUAUUUAAAAAAUCGCAGGAUAAAUGUUUGUAUUGAUACCUAAAACGUUACGGGCAAUGGUUGACCACUGCUAUAAAAGGAUUAAAUCCAAUUUUGGUCCUAUAUAUUUAAUUAUUUGAAGUUUUGAUCCCCUAUUUUAAAAAUUAAUUUAUUGAAUACACGAAAAAAAAUCAAUUUAUUGGUCCAUCUAUUUCAAUUUUUAUGACUUUUGGUCACCAACAAAAUUUUGGCUCAAUUUUAAUGAUGUGGCAGAGCCACUUAUCAGAAAUGUGAUCAUGUAUAUAAAACAGCUACAAAUGGAUUGUUUUUUUGUAUGAACAUUGGAAAUAUAAGGUGGAUGGUGAGAUAAAUGAGGAAAGGUAAUUCACAAUUACCCUAACAAGAAAAAUUUCAAAUCUUUCUUUCAAGAGCUAAUAAAAGAAGGCAAAAGAACCGGAACUUACAGCAAAAGAAUGAUCACACUAAUACCCGUUACAGCGAAUCAAUCGUUAGUUGGUAUAAUGAUUAUUUGUGCUAUAUUUGGUAGGAAGGAUUAUAGUUUGAUCCCCU
rnacentral:lncRNA from 1 species